rnacentral:rRNA from 1 species
UACGAAGGGUGCUAGCGUUGUUCGGAAUUACUGGGCGUAAAGCGUACGUAGGCGGUUUGGUAAGUCGAUUGUGAAAGCCCUAAGCUCAACUUAGGAAUUGCAGCCGAAACUGCCUUGCUUGAGUUUGGUGGGGGAUGGUGGAAUUUCUAGUGUAGGGGUGAAGUCCGUAGAUAUUAGAAGGAAUACCGGUGGCGAAAGCGACCAUCUACGCCAAUACUGACGCUAAGGUACGAAAGCGUGGGGAGCAAACAGG